rnacentral:rRNA from 2 species
UACGUAGGUGGCGAGCGUUAUCCGGAUUUAUUGGGUUUAAAGGGUGCGUAGGCGGCUUUAUAAGUCUGUGGUUAAAGGUAGCAGCUUAACUGUUUUACAUGCCAUAGAUACUGUAGAGCUUGAGUUAUUUGGAGGCAGCUAGAAUUUCCGGUGUAGCGGUGAAAUGCAUAGAUACCGGAAGGAAUACCGAUUGCGAAGGCAGGUUGCUACAAAUAUACUGACGCUGAUGCACGAAAGCGUGGGGAUCAAACAGG